rnacentral:rRNA from 1 species
GCUCAACUUUAAAAUGGAUAUUCCCGCCAGAGCACUACGAGCCACAGCUUAAAACUCAAAGGACUUGGCGGUGCUCUACACCCACCUAGAGGAGCCUGUUCUAUAAUCGACACCCCCCGAUAAACCUCACCACCCCUUGCCACUACAGCCUAUAUACCACCGCCCUCAGUUCACCUUUCAAAAGAAUAAUAAUGAACAAAAUAAUUAAAAAUAAAAAAGUCAGGUCAAGGUGUAGCAAAUGAGGUGGAAAGAAAUGGGCUACAUUUUUUAUAAUUAAAAAAUACGAAGUAUUAUAUGAAAUAAAAUAUAAAGGAGGAUUUAGAAGUAAAAAGAAAAAAGAGUGUUCUUUUUAAAUUGGCAAUAGAGCACGCACACACCGCCCGUCACCCUUUUUAAAAAUAAAAUAUUUAAAUAAAUAUAUAAACCUAUAAAAAAAGGUAAGU